rnacentral:rRNA from 1 species
AUGGCAACUUGCUUAUCUAACAUGAUUAGGGAAUAUUGCUUGGAUUUUAUUGGUAUUCAGGAAACAAUGAAGAAGGACUUUUCCUCUAAGAUCUUGAGGAAAAUUGAUCCGGAAAAAUCAUUUUGUUGGAAAUGGAUCCCUUCUGUUGGCAAAUCCGGGGGUAUCUUAUGCGGUAUUAAACAUGACACUUUCGAUAUCAGGUCUUGUAUUGUAGGAAGGUGUGUUAUGAAAUUUGAGUUAUGGGACAAAGAAAAAAUGAACUAUUCUAUACUUGUAGUGUAUGGAUCUGCACAUGAGGAAUUUAAAGUAGAGUUCUUAACUGAGUUUUUUGACAUGUGUAGUAACAUUUCCUGUCCGUAUAUUGCGGGGGGAGAGUUUAAUAUCCUUAGACAUGUUGGUGAGAAGAAUAAGAAAACUAGACUUUGCCAUUCUUCUCAUAUGUUUAAUUCUAUCAUUAAUUCCUUUUCUCUAAGAGAAGUAGACAUGAAUGGUGAUAUGUAUACUUGGUCAAACAAUCAACAAAACCCCACCCUUGAGAAAUUGGACAGGGUUCUUAUGUCCAACUCUUGGGAGAGCCUAUUCCCUUUGACUUUUGUUAGGAAAUUGGUGAAAGAGAUUUCAUAUCACUGUCGCCUGAUCUUGAAUACUGAGGAUCUGAUCCCUGCUCCUGUGCGGAGGAGAGAAUUUAGAUUUCACUUGAAUUGGCUAAAAAAUCCCGAUUUCCUUCCCUUAAUUGCUAAGGUCUGGAUGAAACUGGUUAACUCCAAUGAUCCAAUUGAUAUUUUGAACAUUAAACUAAAGAGAUUUAAAAAGUUCUUCAAAGGUUGGGGAUCCAACAUGUUUGGGCACGCUAGAAAAAAAAGAGAUUGUUAA